rnacentral:rRNA from 1 species
UACAGAGGUCCCAAGCGUUGUUCGGUGUCACUGGGCUUAAAGGGCGCGUAGGUGGCUGCGUAAGUAAGGUGUGAAAGCCCUCGGCUUACCCGGGGAAUUGCGCCUUAUACUGCGUGGCUUGAGGAUCUCAGGGGAAGGGGGAACUCCGAGUGUAGCGGUGAAAUGCGCAGAUAUUCGGGGGAAGGCCGGCGGCGAAGGCGCCCUUCUGGGAGAUUCCUGACACUGAGGCGCGAAAGCGUGGGGAGCAAACAGG